rnacentral:rRNA from 1 species
GACGAACGCUGGCGGCAGGCCUAACACAUGCAAGUCGAGCGAGCGGCGGACGGGUGAGUAAUGUAUGGGGACUGCCCGAUAGAGGGGGAUAACUACUGGAAACGGUAGCUCAUACCGCAUACUAUCGGAUAACCCAUAUGGGAUUAGCUAGUAGGUGAGGUAAUGGCUCACCUAGGCGCCGAUCCCUAGCUGUUCUGAGAGGAUGAUCAGUCACACUGGAACUGAGACACGGUCCAGACUCCUACGGGGGCAGCAGGGGGGAAUAUUGGACAAUGGGCGAAAGCCUGAGCCAGCCAUGCCGCGUGUGUGAAGAAGGUCUUCGGAUUGUAAAGCACUUUAAGUUGGGAGGCGUUACCAACAGAAUAAGCACCGGCUAACUUCGUGCCAGCAGCCGCGGUAAUUC